rnacentral:rRNA from 1 species
CGUAGUUGAGUCCUGGCUCGAGAGACGCUGGCGGCGUGCUUAACACAUGCAAGUCGAACGGAGUACCCUCGAAAGAGAUUUCGGUCAAUGGAGAGGACUACUUAGUGGCGGACGGGUGAGUAACGCGUGAGGAACCUGCCUUUCAGAGGGGGACAACAGUUGGAAACGACUGCUAAUACCGCAUAACGUACGGGUAUCGCAUGGUACUGGUACCAAAGAUUUAUCGCUGAGAGAUGGCCUCGCGUCUGAUUAGCUAGUUGGUAGGGUAACGGCCUACCAAGGCGACGAUCAGUAGCCGGACUGAGAGGUUGGCCGGCCACAUUGGGACUGAGAUACGGCCCAGACUCCUACGGGAGGCAGCAGUGGGGAAUAUUGGGGCAAUGGGCGCAAGCCUGACCCAGCAACGCCGCGUGAAGGAAGAAGGCUUUCGGGUUGUAAACUUCUUUUGACAGGGAAGAGCAGAAGACGGUACCUGUCGAAUAAGCCACGGCUAACUACGUG